rnacentral:rRNA from 1 species
GUGGGGAAUAUUGGACAAUGGGGGGAACCCUGAUCCAGUCAUGCCGCGUGUGUGAAGAAGGCCUUUUGGUUGUAAAGCACUUUAAGCGAGGAGGAGGCUACCGAGAUUAAUACUCUUGGAUAGUGGACGUUACUCGCAGAAUAAGCACCGGCUAACUCUGUGCCAGCAGCCGCGGUAAUACAGAGGGUGCAAGCGUUAAUCGGAUUUACUGGGCGUAAAGCGCGCGUAGGUGGCCAAUUAAGUCAAAUGUGAAAUCCCCGAGCUUAACUUGGGAAUUGCAUUCGAUACUGGUUGGCUAGAGUAUGGGAGAGGAUGGUAGAAUUCCAGGUGUAGCGGUGAAAUGCGUAGAGAUCUGGAGGAAUACCGAUGGCGAAGGCAGCCAUCUGGCCUAAUACUGACACUGAGGUGCGAAAGCAUGGGGAGCAAACAGGAUUAGAAACCCCUGUAGUCC